rnacentral:rRNA from 1 species
UACAGAGGUGGCAAGCGUUGUUCGGAAUUACUGGGCGUAAAGGGCGCGUAGGCGGUUCGUUAAGUCCUGUGUGAAAUCCCCCGGCUCAACUGGGGAACUGCACAGGAAACCAGCGGGCUUGAGUACGGAAGAGGCGAGUGGAAUUCCUGGUGUAGCGGUGAAAUGCGCAGAUAUCAGGAGGAACACCAAUGGCGAAGGCAGCACUCUGGGACGUGACUGACGCUGAGACGCGAAAGCGUGGGGAGCAAACAGG